GGUAACAGGAAGAAGCUUGCUUCUUUGCUGACGAGUGGCGGACGGGUGAGUAAUGUCUGGGAAACUGCCUGAUGGAGGGGGAUAACUACUGGAAACGGUAGCUAAUACCGCAUAACGUCGCAAGACCAAAGAGGGGGACCUUCGGGCCUCUUGCCAUCAGAUGUGCCCAGAUGGGAUUAGCUAGUAGGUGGGGUAACGGCUCACCUAGGCGACGAUCCCUAGCUGGUCUGAGAGGAUGACCAGCCACACUGGAACUGAGACACGGUCCAGACUCCUACGGGAGGCAGCAGUGGGGAAUAUUGCACAAUGGGCGCAAG
rnacentral:rRNA from 1 species